rnacentral:misc_RNA from 1 species
AAUUCUCAACCUACACUGACUUUUGAUUGGUGUGGCUUGGAUUUGGGAUUGUGGGCUAUUGUCGUAGUCUGCUCCCCUGAAAUUGAUUAGCAGUGCCUUGGUGGAACUGUCUACAGGUGUGAUAAUUAUCUACAUCCUAGACAUCUGCUUGAUGCUGCUUUCUAAACCUUACCUCUAUUGACAA